UUAAUCUUGCUGUGUAGCAAGUGCAGGAAAAGAUCAAUUGGACGUGUUUCUGUAUGAGUUUCACGUUUUGCACGAGAUGAGACGUGCAAACCGGUUUAUUUAUCUUAAGCACGACUUUAAAAUGCAUUAAAAUUUGCCUUUUCACAUUUUUUUAAAGAACCGUCAUGUAUAGUAGCUCGGCGACAGAUAUAUUUUGAAAGUACGGACCGGAAGUGUUAGUGUUGUCGUCUCUGCGUGGAUGUAAUUUGUACUUAUUUAAGUGCUAUUUCUGAAUAGAGCCAGAAGAGGACGACACAGCGCUGUGUAGCGUUGUAGUCAGUGACAUGCAAGUAGAGGCCUUAAAAAUACAGUAAUAUGAUUGUGAUAGUGUAACCUUGGUUUCAGCACUUUUUAAUGUAUUUCAACAUGUGUAGCAUUAGAGUUGUCUGUGGAUCAUAAUAACAUUGGUUCCUACCUGCUCCGGUUUACACUGGGGACUUGUGGAGUGUAACGCCUGAAGACUCGCACAUGUGAGAAGUGUGCUGAAGACAGAGAACUGGGAGGCGGGGCAGUUCUUUGUCUCAACCUGAAGGGGGCGACCGCGAGCCACAGGCGCUGCCGCUGCCGCCCGUUAACACAGGGAAUGGCUGCUCUGCGGGUUCAGAUGGAAAGGCGUAUGGACGCACCUGAGGCCUCUGCCGGAGCAUCUCCUGCUGCUUCAGCCGCAGCCUCUCCUUCUCCAUCUGCUGCAGUCUCAUCUGGUUGUUGUUUCCCAUGAUGCCGCUGUGGGUG